rnacentral:rRNA from 1 species
UGGGGAAUUUUGGACAAUGGGCGAAAGCCUGAUCCAGCCAUGCCGCGUGAGUGAAGAAGGCCUUCGGGUUGUAAAGCUCUUUUAGUCGGAAAGAAAGAGUUGCAAUGAAUAAUUGUGAUUUAUGACGGUACCGACAGAAAAAGCACCGGCUAACUACGUGCCAGCAGCCGCGGUAAUACGUAGGGUGCGAGCGUUAAUCGGAAUUCCUGGGCGUAAAGGGUGCGCAGGCGGUCUUGCAAGUCAGAGGUGAAAGCCCCGGGCUUAACCGGGGAAUUGCGUUUGAAACUACAAGACUAGAGUGCAGCAGAGGGGAGUGGAAUUCCAUGUGUAGCAGUGAAAUGCGUAGAGAUGUGGAAGAACACCGAUGGCGAAGGCAGCUCCCUGGGUUGACACUGACGCUCAUGCACGAAAGCGUGGGGAGCGAACA